GGUCGGGGCCACGUGGGCAGGAUGGGGUUAAAAGAAGCCCCGCUCCCUGCAGGGGCCCAUUGCUCCCUGGCCACCAGCACCCUGUAGAGCACCCACCCGCAGCACCGGCACCCAGCAUGGGCCACCUGCGCCCCAACCCGGUAAUGUACGGAGGGACCCAGCCAGCGGCAUGGCACCCACGUGGUGCUCGAGGAGCAGUGGGGGCAUGGAGAGGUCCUGGGGCCAUGGCCCCCACCUGCUGCCAGGGGGACAGUGGGUGCUGGGGGCCACCCCAUGGGUAAGAGGGUCCCCCCCAGGGAGGAGGUGCUGCAGUGGUGGGCGGGAGGAUAUGGGAAGAGCCUGAAGCAGAAGUGCCACCAAGGAGAUUUCAGUUCCAGCCGGACAGGAGGCAGAGGAUGCAGAGGCUGGUGGGGCAGGGAUGAGGUGAGGAUGUCCCUUGUGCCUGGCAUGGUUCCCCAGGGCAGGAUGUGAUGCCAGCAGGAGCUCCCUGUCCCCAGGGCAAAGCCAGCCCUGCCGUUCGUGCCCCCGGCCAUGCUGACACAGAAGCAUCCCCACGGCCAGGCACGCGGGGUGCAGGCGGAGGAGGCCACGUCGCUGGAGGAGAGCAUCGCCGACACCGACUGAGAGACAGUGCAGUCACCCAUAAAGUAGAAAGCACUACUAAACAGCACUGCAGGGUGUAGUGUUUCCUACUUUAUGGAUGAGUGUACUGUGGGCUACGGAGAAGAGAGCACUGCCAGCCACCUGCGGGCCGGCCAUCAGCUGUGCACGGCUGGGGAGCCAAGGACAGGCUGGCGCCAGCACCACCACCGUCCCUGCUGCCACCAGGCCAGCACACCUGGGACAUGGGGCUGAGGGGCCAGGUAGGUAGCAAAGCCUGCGAUUCAUGCUUUUCUGCCCCAUCUUCAGGUCAUGGAUGGCAAAGUCCUGUGGGGAACUGGGUGGUGGUGGCCAUGUGUGGGUGGGGAGAGGCAGGGGGGCUGGCAAAUAGCUUUGCAUGGCUGCACAAUGGCAGGAUGCUGCUAAAUAAAACUCUUUCAGUGUUGA